CCUUAACAUUUAACGUGGGCAGGAUUCUGCCAAGGUUUGGGAACAACCUGUUAGUGAGGAGACUCCUGAGCCCCCCAGUCAAUACCUUGAGGGAAAUUAGAAAGUCAGAAGUGAGGAGAAUGUCCCAGAAAAUGCCUGUUGUGCUUUGAACACAGGAUGUGGCCAUAAGGAAAAUCCUCCCUCGUUUCAAGCUCGGCUCCGUGGAUUUAAUAAUGGCAUUCCUUGGAAUCAGUGAAGUUGGUCACGUCCUCUCCCAUCCCACUCCUGUCCCUGGGAACAAGCUCCCAACCACCUGAUCCAGGAGCAAGGACCAUUCUCUGAAAAACGAGGCCCUUUUUAUGGCACCGGUGACAAGAUCCAGCUCUUUCCACGUCCCUUGGAAGCCCAGCCAGUCCUUUGGGCCAGUGCUUUGACUGCAGCCCAGCUCAGCAGACACUGAGUGGUGUUUCUCAAGAAGGACAGAUGUUGGAAGGCUGACCCAUGUGCCUGGGGAGCCACUGUAAAAAGAACAGGACUAACAUCACUGUGCCACAGAACCCCGGGGAUGUUGCUGGUGUGAGUGGUCCUUCAGGAACCCAUCAGAGGAGAGUUUUGACUGCUUCCAGUCAGGUAAGUCAGGAGCUGGGGCAGGAGGAGGCACCACAGCUGGGCUGGCAGCUCUGCCCUGGUGGGAUGUGGUCAGAGAGUGAAGGUCCAGCAGCAGG
rnacentral:lncRNA from 1 species